UGCUUAGUACGGCGAGUGAAGCGGCAAAAGCUCAAAUUUGAAAUCGGCCAUCAGGUCGAGUUGUAAUUUGUAGAUUGUACUUUGAGAGCGGAUUAAAGUCUGUUGGAACACAGCGCCUUAGAGGGUGACAGCCCCGUAAAAUCUAUUCUCAUUGUAAGGUACUUUCGAAGAGUCGAGUUGUUUGGGAAUGCAGCUCUAAGUGGGAGGUAAAUUCCUUCUAAAGCUAAAUAUUGACGAGAGACCGAUAGCGAACAAGUACUGUGAAGGAAAGAUGAAAAGCACUUUGAAAAGAGAGUGAAAAAGUACGUGAAAUUGUUAAAAGGGAAGGGUAUUGAAUCAGACGUGGUGCUGUUGUUCAACUUUGUUUCGGCAUGGUGUACUCAGCAGUACUAGGCCAAGGUGGGGUGUUUGGGAGUGAAAAAGGAAUAGGAACGUAGCUCUUCGGAGUGUUAUAAUCUAUUUUCAUAGCUCCUCAGGCGCCUCAGGACUGCGCUUCGGCAAGGACUUUGGCAUAAUGAUUCUAUACCGCCCGUCUUGA
rnacentral:rRNA from 1 species